CAGACCACCUACCCAAAUUGUAAAGCCAGAUCUUUACUUUGGGGCCCCGUGGCUGAAGGGCCACCUCAGGAGGUACACGCCUUGAGACAUUCCAAGGUUCCAAGGUGUGCUUUUGGCUUUGCAAACUAUUGGAGUGAACUGCCAUGCUGAGAAAAGCUGCAAGCAUCUAUGGAGGCCUUCCUUGGAAAGUCUCUUGGAUCUUCUGGGCCUGGUAGCCAAAGACUGAUACUUCUGUGGGACAUCUGCCCUCAGUGCAGCCAUCAAGACUAGGAGACCCUACUAGGGUAAUUGUCCAGGUAGCUGACUCCUGUCGCUGGCCUCCAUCUUCCAUCCAGGAUGGACCGGGUGCUCUCUGGGUGUGAGGAUUCUUCUUUGUGGAAUUCACUACCUCUUGAGAAUCUCUGUCACAAGGGAUGCAGCUUUGUUCCACCCUGCCCGUCACUAGGAUGUUUCUGCAUUGCGGCAGGCCCGGAGCUCUGAGGCCAAGAGACGGAAACCUUUAAAAUCAUGACCCAAAAGAAGUCCUUAAAUGACCGUGUCUCAGACUUGUCACAGUGAUGACUAGGCUUAGACGCAGUGGUGACUUAUAGUCAUUGGUUUUCUGAUGUUCUAAGACUUAAAAUCAUUAUGCCUGUUAAAGUGUCCUGAAAAUGGCACAAAGUUUCCAGAACUUCUGAGGCAUGUGUAUAUAUAUAAAUAAAUAUAUAUAUUAUAUUA